rnacentral:rRNA from 1 species
UCGAGCUGGAGGAUCUGGGUCACCUCCCACCCGUGUUUAUUUUACCUUGUUGCUUCGGCGGGCCCGCCUUAACUGGCCGCCGGGGGGCUUACGCCCCCGGGCCCGCGCCCGCCGAAGACACCCUCGAACUCUGUCUGAAGAUUGUAGUCUGAGUGAAAAUAUAAAUUAUUUAAAACUUUCAACAACGGAUCUCUUGGUUCCGGCAUCGAUGAAGAACGCAGCGAAAUGCGAUACGUAAUGUGAAUUGCAAAUUCAGUGAAUCAUCGAGUCUUUGAACGCACAUUGCGCCCCCUGGUAUUCCGGGGGGCAUGCCUGUCCGAGCGUCAUUGCUGCCCUCAAGCACGGCUUGUGUGUUGGGCCCCGUCCUCCGAUCCCGGGGGACGGGCCCGAAAGGCAGCGGCGGCACCGCGUCCGGUCCUCGAGCGUAUGGGGCUUUGUCACCCGCUCUGUAGGCCCGGCCGGCGCUUGCCGAUCAACCCAAAUUUUUAUCCGGGUUGACCUCGGAUCAGG